rnacentral:rRNA from 1 species
AGCAGCCGCGGUAAUUCCAGCUCCAAUAGCGUAUAUUAAAGUUGUUGCAGUUAAAAAGCUCGUAGUUGAAUUUCGAGAUCAAAUUGUUGGUCGUGCCUUGGUACGCACUGGCAUUAUUGGUUUCUCCCUUCUGACGAACCAUGAUGUCAUUAAUUUGGUGUCUUGGGGAAUCAGGACUGUUACUUUGAAAAAAUUAGAGUGUUUAAAGCAGGCUCACGCUUGAAUACAUUAGCAUGGAAUAAUGAAAUAGGACGUUUGAUUCUAUUUUGUUGGUUUCUAGGAUCGACGUAAUGAUUAAUAGGGAUAGUUGGGGGCAUUAGUAUUCAAUUGUCAGAGGUGAAAUUCUUGGAUUUAUUGAAGACUAACUACUGCGAAAGCAUUUGCCAAGGAUGUUUUCAUUAAUCAAGAACGAAAGUUAGGGGAUCGAAGACGAUCAGAUACCGUCGUAGUCUUAACCAUAAACUAUGCCGACUAG